CUCUCAUGCACUCUCCCCUCCCGGCCUCCCACUCCCUCCCGAGUACCAACCGACAGGCGACAGCGAAGGCGCUCCCUCGAGCCGCACAGCCGGUGCGACUCCGGCGCUCCCGCCGUCCUGCGAGACCCCUACGCGCGCCCAGCCGUGGCGCCCGGCGGCGCCGCUGACAUCGCGCGCCGCGCCGGCGCCCGCGCGGCCUCGUCCUCUUCGCGACUCCGCGUCUCUGGCUCUCCGCCCCUGGCCGCGCCCUCUCCGUCCCACGUCCGGCCGUCGCCCACUCGCCCGGCGGCCUCCCGGGCUCCUGGCGUCUCGCCUGACGCCGCCAGCACCCAACCGCCUAGGCCGGCAUGCCCCAUCCGCCGUCCGCCCGUCCGGCCAAUGCCAGUGCGCCACUCCCUCUUUGGAUCUAAACACAUGCAUCCCUCUAAUUCUAGAUAUGAUGCUCCAAUUGAUGAAGACACCGUUGUUGAUGAAAGGUCAUGUGAAGAACAAGAACCACCUCCACCUCCAUAUGUUGUUGCUCAUUUAGGUCUACCCUGGGUUCACUGGUGGAGAAACCAUCUUUCGUCGGUCGGCCGAAUUCCACAAUAGUCCCG